ensembl:lincRNA 4933433G15Rik uncharacterized LOC110302520
ACCCCGGCCUCAGCUGAACCAACGCCCAGGGUGUCGUACCAAGUGACCCGGCAGGGCGAGCGUCUGAACGGCUGCUGGGUCCCGGGCUGUCGGGAGGAAGUGGGCGAAGGCGAAUAUGCUAGGCCAGAUAGUUGAGCAGAUAAGCUCAGGGUGGUGUUGGGGAGGCCCCUGGAAUCGGUCCCCGGGGUCCGUUGGGUGCUUCCAGAAGCAUCCGCGGUAACCUAGGAGGUGAAUGGGUGGGGGGUCCUGAGAAAACUGAGCAAAAGCUCAGGCAGCAGGGUGGCUGGCUUGUUGAGAUCGCUGAGACCAGCCAGAGUUAGACAUAGGCGUGCUGAGAAAGGUAGAUAGCUGCCCUUCCAGUGCUUAGGUGAAAUUUAAGUAUUUAGGAACUUAGAUAUAAAAAACACAGGGUUUGCCUGGGAGUAGUGGCACAUGGGUUAACUAGUCUAUGUAGUGCCAGGACAGCCUACGCUAUAGAUAAUAGACCCUGUCUCAAAAGGCUGGGGGAGCUUGUUGUUGCACCCCUUGUGAUCCCUGUCUUGGAGACCAGAAGGAUUAGAAGAUACAGUUAAUCCUUGGCUGCAUAGCUUUGAGGAAGUCCCUGCCUGAAAGCGCGAUAAGGUAUUUGCAAAUUCAUCUUCCUGGAUGAGAAUUUCUUGAAGUCGGUCAUGCGUACACACCAAGUGUGGUAGUGAACGCUUGUCAUCCCAGCAUUCUGCAGGCUGAGACAGGAGAAUCUUGAGGGCUUCAGAAAUUCACCAGCAUUGCUAAGAAACCAUCUCCCCAUCCCCCAGCCUGGCAUCUCCCCAACCUCUGAAGAAGCUUUGUGCGGUUUCCCUUUUCUUCAGCUUAGAUACAUGGGUUUGGAGUUUAUCACCCUGCCGGAGAGCUUCAGGACAUUUUCAGCCCAGUGACUGUGCUACAUGAGCUCAUCUGCCUUCUCAGAGUCUCACGCUCUCCUGCAGCCGUGAUUCAUGAGAGCUCUACUCUGAAAGCCCCAAGGAGCUGUUGCUAUCCAUCUGGUGUCCUGAUGCCACCAGCAUCAUCCAUGAAACCUGUGGAUUGGCCCACUGCUGCCACUAAUUGCCUUCAGGCAAGUGGUCUCACCCCAUCUUAGGACAGCUCUCUCCUGCAGAGCCGUUCUGAGGUGUUUCAGGAGCUACUGUGUGGAAAGCACCUGGCAACAUAGAAGGCAUCUGGGGCGUUCAGGUCUCCAGCCAGAAGCCUAUUCUUCCCACCAUGGCUUCCUGAAGUUGGCCAGGUCUCCUUCCACUCCCUGUAGUCAUUCAGCAGUUACUCUUUAAGUACCUACUUUAUCUAAGGUAGAGCAGUUUCCCGGAGCUGGGAGCCAGCAUCUGUAACAUACACGUGGCCUGAGUUUGAUGCUCAGCCAUGGGAGAGGGCAGGUAAAACAACGUUCUCCAAACUUUCUGGGUAAUGUAGUUGGGAAGUGGUUGUUUUCGGUGUUUAAUGCAUCAGUUGACUUUU